rnacentral:rRNA from 1 species
UACAUGUGGGGCAAGCGUUGUUCGGAAUUACUGGGCAUAAAGGGUGCGUAGGUGGUUUGUUAAGUCAGGGGUGAAAUCCCGCGGCCCAACCGUGGAACUGCCUUUGAUACUGGCGAACUUGAGUGCGUGAGGGGUAGGGGGAACGAGCAGUGUAGCGGUGAAAUGCGUAGAUAUUGGAAGGAACACCGGAGGCGAAAGCGGUGUACUGGGGCUGGUCUGACGCUGAGGCACGAAAGCCAGGGGAGCGAACGGG